CUUUCCCUUUUUCAAUGAUUCUGCUUUUAAAGUUUCGACUGGUGCUGAGAUUUUUAAAGCUUCCACUAACCAUUCCAAUUGAACACCAAUGACUGUUUCUUGCUUUAAUCUAAUUUCGUAGGUCAGGAGGUGAGUGAAGAUGGUGGCCCAGCUCUGUCAACCAAGCCAACUUCUUCGUUGUCAGAGUCAGUCGAAGUUCAGGUAGUUGAUUCCCUUGGUGGUUUAAACCCCAAUAGACAUACUGCUAUUUUGUUUAAAGAGAAAGAUUCAACUGAUGGUGCUCAAUUGAGGGGUCACUAUUUCAGCUUCGGGUGUUAAUAAAAUUCAGAGUUCGGGGAAAAUAUUAGGGAGUAAGGAUGGGGGCUUUCGGGCUACAAGGAAAAUAAAAAAAAUUACACAUGGGAAAGGGAAUAAUUUUAAAAUUGAAAAUUCUUCUAAAAUUUCUUUGAGUGAUUCUAUGUCUAGGUUGGCUCAGUCUGUUUCCGCAUUACGAAGUGCUGAUUCGAGUUCAAUUGACCCAGGUGCUGGUAAAAGAAUUCAGGAAUGAUUAUUAAAGCUAUGGACAGUAAUGUUUCUUGGGUUUUUUUAAUUCUUUUCUUGUUUAUUUUUUAUCAUGGAUUUAAAUUUAUCAAUUUUUUCUUGGAAUUGUCAAGGCUGUGCAAGUAGUAAAUUUCUCUGCAUUUUUCGUGAGUAUAAUUUUAAGCAUAAACCGGAUAUAGCGUGUCUGCUGAAACCAAGAGUUAGUGGUAAAAAAGCUAAUUCUAUUAUUGAUAAAUUGGGUUUUGACUUUUCUCACCGCAUUGAGUCUAUUGGUUUUACAGGUGGCAUCUGGGUUGGUUAGAAGGAUAAUAUUUGCAUUAGCAUUACUCAUAAUCAUCCCCAGUUCAUGGUUCUUUGUGUUCAUGGCAGUACUCACACUAAUUCCUUUUUUUUUCAUCUUUUUUGUGUAUGGUAGUCUUGAGAGAAUUAAGCUGAAGUCUCUUUGGACUGAUUUAAUGGAGGUUUUACCUCACGAUCCUUUACCUUGGCUGAUUAUGGGUGACUUUAAUGCUAUCCUCUCACCUAAGGAUAAAAAAAGUGAUUGCUCUACUGGUAAUAGAUGUAAUUUGCAGGACCUUGGAUUCAUAGGACCCUCCUUUACCUGGCAAAGAGGUAAUACGCACGAGUGGAUAGAUCGAGCAUUAACUAAUGAUACUUGGAUUUCAUCCUUUCCGCAUAGUCUCAUUUAUCAUCUUCUAUGCAUUAAAUCAGAUCAUAGGCCCAUCCUUCUAAAAACUAAUCCUGAAUUCAGUAUUCCCAAAGGGAGACCUUUUUGGUUUCUUGUAGGAUGGACAAAGCAUACGAAUUUUAAAGAUUUGGUCUCUAGUAAGUGGAGGUUUUCAGGUAACAUGGCUGAUUCUUUAUCCAAUUUUACCUCACAUGUCAAAGAAUGGAGCAGGUCCGUAUAUGGCUUAUAGGCACACACAAAAGACACCUUAUGAGAUUGCUUGCAAGCAUUCAAAAGGCGAUGGAUCAGUCGACCUCCAAUAGGUUAGUUAACUUGGAGAUGGAGGUUCGAGAUGAAUUGGAAAGUGUGCUUAACCCUUGAGGAACUUUUUGGAGGGAAAAAGCUAGGUGUGUUGGCUCUAGUUUGGGGAUCGCAAUACUAAUUUCUUUUAUAGUUGUACAGUGCAAAGGAAAUUUAAUCGUAGUAUGGCCUUACACAUUAGUAGCAGGGAGUGGGGUUCUGAUCAGAAUAUUCUUAGUAAUGAGGCCAUCAGGUUCUUUGAGAGAUUGUAUGGUAAAAUCCCAACCCCCAUGAGUGAACUUCCCUCUAAUAUCUUUCCCCACCUUAAGGAGCAUGAUAUCAAUUUCUUUAAAAAGUCAGUUUCAAAUGAAGAGAUAAAGAAGGCCCUUUUUGACAUGGCUUCGUUGAAAGCUCUGGGAAGUGAUGGGUUCCAUGCGUAUUUUUUCCAAAGUCAGUGGGACUCAGUUGGAGGGGCAGUUUGUGAAUGGGUUUAGGGAAUCUUUGCUGGUAAUAGAAUUGAGGAAGCUCUUACCAACAUUCUAAUUGUGCUUAUUCUGAAGAAAGAUCGAUCGAAGGAUUUCAGUCAAUUUUGGCCAAUUAGUCUUUGUUCGUUGUUGUAUAAGUUGGUGAUGAAGGUGAUCGCUAAUAGACUUAAAGUGGUGUUUUCGAAUUAUAUAUCACCUGAGCAAGUGGGGUUUAUUUCUGGUCGUAACAUUUCUGAUAAUGUCAUUAUUGCACAAGAAUUCAUUCAUUCAAAGCAUAGUAGGAGAGUUGGUAGAAAUUGGAUGGCCAUCAAGUUGGAUCUAGAGAAAGCCUAUGAUAGGAUUAGUUGGGAUUUUAUUGAUGCGUCUCUAGUAGCAGUUGGGAUUCUUGAGUUCCUCAGAAAGGUGAUUAUGGUUGCAAUUUCUUCUUCUUCUAUGCAGAUAUUAUGGAAUGGAGUUCCGUCUUAGUCCUUUAAGCCUAUGAGAGGGAUUAGACAGAGGUGUCCUUUAUCGCCUUAUCUUUUCAUUCUUUGCAUGGAAUGGUUAGGCCAUAUUAUUUGCUUAAAAAUCACAGCUGGUAGGUGGCAUCCGAUUCGGUUAUCUAGGUCGGGGCCGGCCUUAUCUCUUUUUUUUUUUUGCUGAUGACCUUGUCAUUUUCGGCAAAGCGAAGCUGGAAUAAGUUUUUUUUGUUAAAGCAAAUCCUUAAGCACUUCUGUGACUUUUCUGGGCAUAAAAUCAGCGCGAGAAAGAGUAACAUGUAUUUCUCCAAAGGUGUUGAUAAUAGAUUGUGUGACUAGUUUAGCCAGUUUUUUGGGUUCCUGAAAGUUCUUAAUCUAGGAAGUUAUUUGGGGUGCCUUUCUUUCAUGAAUGUGUUACUAAAAGUACUCUGAAUUUUGUGGUUGAUAAAGUGAGGCAUAAACUUCAAAAUUGGGAAGCUAGAAAACUCUCCUUUACGGGACGUGUCACUCUCACCCAAUCUGUUCUCCUAGCUAUUCCAAACUAUUUCAUGUAGUCUUUGUUAAUCCUAAAAGUUGUGUGUGAUGAGAUAGAGAGGAUUGCAAGGCAAUUCAUUUGGGGUAGUUCUGCUGGAUAUCCAAAAAUAGCCCUGGUAGAAUGGGAGUCCAUUUGUCAGCCUAGGUCUCGUGGGGGCCUUGGGUUUCGGCACCUUCAAGACCAAAAUAAUCCAUUCCUUAUGAAAAUUGGGUUCAACCUAGUCUCUAGAAAAGACGCUUUAUGGGUUCAUGUCCUUCGCUUGAAAUAUGGCUGGAAGAAUUAGCUUCUAGAUUCUAUUCACAGAAAUCAAUGCUCUCAUCUUUGGCGUUCCCUCUCAAAGGUGUGGCCCCCUUUUUUGUGGGAAUCACAUGUAGUUUGUAGGUGAUGGCUGUACAAUUCGUGGUUGGAAAUAUUCUUGGGUACCACAUGUUGGCCUUCUUUUUUCUUAUGUUUCAGCUCAUGCAAGCCUUGAUUUGGAGAGUACUUUGAGGGAUUAGGUUCUUCUUGAUGGUUCUUGGAAUGUUGAUUUGCUUCGUAUUUGGCUACCUGAUGACAUGAUAAAGCGUAUAGUAAGUAUUUCCCGUCUUCAUUCUACUAGUGGUGAGGAUAGGAUCAUUGGGGCUCAAUCUAGUUCAGGGUCUUUUUCUAUUCGUAGUGCUUACUGGGUUUUAAAAAAAUAUUCUUGGAGUCUUAAAGAUGAUAUUUGGAAGCCUAUUUGGAAAUAUCAAGGCCCACAGAGAGUCCGUCUUUUUCUUUGGCUUGUGGCCAAGCAGCAGAGGCUUCUUACUAAUUCAGAACGCGCUAGGAGAGGAAUUGGGCAAAAUAGUGCGCCCCUUCUAUGUGGUCAGGAUACUGAGGACAUUAUGCAUGUUCUCUGAGAUUGUUCAACAGUUAAGGAAGCUUGGAUGCUUGUAGUCCCUCCGAGAAACAACCUAGGUUUUUUUCUUAUUCCUUUCAAAUUUGGUUUUCCACUAAUCUUUGUUGUCAUUUUAAGAUGGAGGAUAAGGGAAUUACUUGGUCAUGCUUAUUUGGGUUAAUUGCUUGGAGAAUUUGGAAGAACAUGAAUAUUUUCAUCUUCUAAAACAUCAAUUGGACAGCUUAUGAUGUUAUGAAAAACUCUCUGUGUUGGGUUAACAAUUUGAAAUUUUGGAUCAAGCCUAAUUCACCCAAUUUGGAAAUUCACUAUCAUUGUGAAGAUAAUUGGGUCUAUUUAUUUUCUGAUGGAGUAGUGGCUAGAGCUUCCGGAAAUGCUUCUGCGGGUGGCAUGGUUCGUGAUCUGGUUGCCAAUUGGAUUUUGGGUUUGAAUCAUUAUUUGGGCAGAUGUUCGCUUUUGGAUGCAGAACUUUGGGGUAUUCUUGAUAGAAUUCUCAUUUUAUUAAGUAAGAGCUACAAGAAAGUCAGGAUUCUUAAGGAAUCAGUGGACUCCGAUAUUACCUUGCUCAGAAGAGUUAAACGGUUUUUGCGCUCUAAAGGUUAGUGGGAAAUUAAGUAUGUUCCUAGGGAGUGUAACUUAAUUGUAGAUCAAUUGGCAAAGAUUAGUCUCUCUUGGCAGACUUCCCUUCAGAUCUUUUAAGUACCUCCUAAUUUGGUGGUUAUGGCUAUCCAACAACACAAAGCUUUUAGAGUCUCCUAGUAGUUUUUAAGUUGUAAUUUUGUUUAUCAUUUUUCACCAAAAAAAUAAAAUUAGGGAAUAUGAGAUGGAUUUUAAGCCAUUGGAUUACCAUUAAUUUAGUAGGACUUGAGUCUAACCAUUUAUCAAAAUAAGUUGGAACUUAUGAGACUUGAUAAUGGAAAAGUGGAGAAGGUUUCUAAAUUUUUCCUUCUUCACAUAAUUAGCUAAGUGUAGAGAAGUGGAGAACCCUUGCAAAUCGUAAGCUAUUCUGCACAAAAUUCAUGAGUUUUUAUUAAACAUCAUGGUCAAAUCUUGUCACCAAGCUCUCUUAGAAUCUAAUACCUAUAAGUUAGAUGUUUGAAUUGAAGCAAUUUGUAAAUUAGAAGUUAAGUUCUUCAGGUGGAAGUGUUAAGAUAGUGAAGUAAGAAAGUUGUCACACCCCAAAAUUGGGCCUAGAAGUUUCGAGGGUAAAAUGGGGAUUUUAACUCUAGUGUGCUUGGGAAUUUCAUAGCAUAAGGAACCAUAAAUGUUUUCGUCUAUAGCUUUUAGAAGAUUAAAUCAAUUUUUGAAAAUAUUAUUGAAACGAAUUUCAAUUUUAAAAUAAGGACUGAUUUGUAAAAUGAUCUAAAUUUUGAGUAUUUAUAAGGCAAUUAAACCAAAUUUUAAAAAUCAACCUAAUAUUUCCCCCACCUACAUGUUUACGUUAGUUUUUUCAGGCUUUGUUUUUGUGGUCAUUCCUUGUUUUUCAAAAGCUCUUCCUACACAAUUUUGAUUCUUAAACUUUAAUAUAUUAAUUUCUAUCAUCACUCAAGCCAUAAAUCUCCAUAGAACUUCAAGAAAAACACCCAAAACACCAUUAAUUUGCCAUCUCUCAAGCUUGUGGGUUUUUGGGGUUUUUAACCAAAAGUUUGUUUUUCUUCCAUCGAAGGUAACGAUUCAAUUCCUUACUAGUUUUUAAUGUUAUCUAGUCUUGUUUUUAAUGUUAUCUAGUCUUUUAAAUAGAUUUUUUAGCCAUUCAAUCGCAUGUUUCAAAUAAAAGCGAAAAUUUGGGUUAUUAAUGGUGGAUUUCGAGAUUUUGAAUAAAGACGUGGUUUCAAAGUGCUUUUCAAUUAUUUUUGAUGUGAUUAGAAGGUUUCUAAAAUUACUUUGAAGUUUCAUUAAGGAUUUCUAAGGAUUUAAUGAAUUUUCGUGAAAAUUGCCAUAACAUGUCAAAAAAUUUUGAUACCAUGAAUUGGGUAGUUUUGCGUAGUUUAAAGGUUGAGAAUCUGUUAUAGGUGAAUAAUUAUAUGAAUGGAAUUCAUUUUAGGCAAAAAAAAAAUAGUAUAAACUGAUAUAUUUGAAUUUCAAGUUUGUUAUGUCGAAGGUUUCGAUUACAAGAGAAUUUAGCUUAGGUUUGUGUUUUGAUUGUUUCAAGUGAGUCUUUGUUUGAUUGUUGAUUUUGUUGUUGUGUGAUUUACCUUUUUGAAGCUUCAGAAUUGUUAGGACCUUCAACGAGUAAAGAUAAAGGUAAGGAAAUGCUAGUUUAAACUUUCGGCGAUUAGGCAAAAACGUGAACGGUGAGUGUUUGGAAUCGUUACUUAUAGACAUUAUUCAUAGUGUUAAUUGGAGCUUAGGAAUAACCUAAACCCCUAUCCUAAGUUCCGAGUGUAAGCUUUAUAUUUACCUUGCUUUAUUUUGGCAAAUUAUAUUAUUAUGUGAAUAAUUAUGGAUUAAUUAUUAUUGAUGCGAUAUUGUGAUAUGAGACAUGUGUGAUGACUAUUGUGAAUUGUGUUGUGUUGUGGGCGUGAUAUACAUGUCAAAUGACAAUGAUAAUGAUAUGAUAAUAAUGCAAAUAUAUAGCGAAAGCGAGCAAAAUUUCGGUAAGUAUUUAUGUGCUGAAUUGUGGAAUGUGAUUAUUAUGACAGGUAAUAUGUGAGAAUAGUUGUAUGUGAUAUAUGUGAUGGCUCAAUGACCAUUAUUGUGGCACUUAAAGUGCAAUUAAAUGUGAAUUCGAUAAGCAUGCAUUGUGUACAAGUUUUUUUUUAUGUAAAUUGAUGAAUAUGAACAGAGAUGAUGUGCAUUAAAUCAAUAAUUAAAAAUGUGUAAUUGUGGAUAUUUUGGCCUUGUGAUCUUUUGAAAUCGUUGGAUAUAUUUGGCAUACCAUAGGAUUAUGAGUACUCACCUUUGUGUUUUGUGAUUUAGACAUUGAGGCCCCGAGAUAGUUUGGAGAGAUAAAGGAAUGUGAGUUAAGCUCCAUUCACCGGGAUGUAUUGGUGUAUUGGAAAGUGUUAGCUAUGUGCUACACUUUUGGGAUAUGUUUGACUUAAUGAGUCAUUUGGUGUGUUGGAGAUCCGUGUAUCCAAUGUGUGGUGAUAGAGCCCACUUUUAUGUUUCAAAGCCUCAAGUGCCAAAUUAUUGUUUAAAUGUGAUCUUAUUUAUUAUGAUAAUACGAUGUGAGAUGGAUGCAUAAACAAGUAAAUAAUAUGCUAAAUGAGUCUAUUUAAGUUUCAUGAAAAUGUUAGUAUGUUCUCAUAGUAAAUUGCAUAUGUAAUUGUGGUUUGGGUCAUUUUCAUUUAACUUGUGAAUACAUGUGCAUAUAUAAGCUAGACUUGUGAGUUACUAAAGCACGUAUACGAUUUUCAGUCUUGAUGAAUUAUUGUAAAAUGAAAUAUUUGUAUAUAAGUUUAAUGUAGUUGUACGUGAGAGUAUAUGCUAGUUUUAUGAUUUAAUGAAGCGUAAAUAUGUUAUUGUGACUUGGUUAGAAUAUAGUUGUGAACGUGUUGUAGUAUGCUCUUGUUUAACCUUUGAUCUUGUGUAUAUUUUGUGGUUACUCUGACAUUCACUGAGCUUGUUUAAGCCCAUUCUCUCUAACCAUUGUAGAUAUUUCGUGUUUGCGGUGUGAGCAGUGCGGGGAUACCAAGAAAGUGAUCCAAAUUAGGCUUUAGUAUAUGCAUAGGUGGUAUUAAUACUUUUUUUUGAACCGUGGGGAUAAGGCAAUGUGGUUAUACUUUGAUCGAUUAUUACUGUGGUCCUCAUGAAAUUUUAUGGGUUUAGUUUUCUAGUACUUUUGAUAGAUGUUAUAAUUAUAGACUUUGAUCGAUUAUUCUGUGGUCCUCAUGAUAUUUUAUGGGUUUAGUUUUAGAUGUUAUAAUUAUUUCAUUGAUAUUGUUUUGGUUUGAAUAUUUGUUAUGUUGAAGUGCCAUGAAUUGUAUGUAUGGUUAGUGGAUGUUGAAUAAUAUGGUAAAACUGUUGCAUGAACUUUGCCAUAAUGUUUUGAUAUAUAACUUUCAUAGCUUAUUUGUUCUUAGGAUUUAUGGAUAUUGUUAUUUUUAUAUCAUUUGCUUACUCAGACAUGUUUUCGAUGAUUGAAUCGUUAUUGUGGUCAUUUUGGUAAUUACUUGAUAAGGUAAAAGUUGCAUGUUGAGUAGUUAUUAUUUUGAACGGAUUAUAUGCCUUAAAUUGUUGAAUUUUUGUGGUCUAAAGCAGAGGUAUUGAUAUUCGUGUUUUAAAAAUGAUACCUUCAUGAUUUUUUAAAGUGCAUAAAGUUAGAACGUAAUUUGGUAUCGAUACCAUAUCACAGGUAUCGAUACUCGAGGUAAAAUAAUCGAUACUUUAUAAAAUGUACCGAUAAUUUCUAAUAUUUUGAUUUUAAAUGAGAAACAGAAUGCUAUUUUGGUAUCGAUUUUCAAAACAAUAUCGAUAGCUUUUGAGAGAAAUAUCGAUACAUUUUAUUCAGUAUCGAUACCUACGUGAAUAAUUUAGAAUUUCUAUUUAGUGGUCUAUAAUCAUGUUUAACUCUCAUUUUAAGUUCGCUUAAUAAAUGUUUAGCAUGUUUUAAUGACGAUUGGAAUACGUAUGACUUAUAAUUAUUACGAAAGCUAAAAUGGAAGAUGUUUGCUUAAUAAUGAGACCAUGCUAAUGUAUGUGAUGUGUGACGGUGGUUACAUCCUAAUAUUCAGGCUCGGUGACCGAGCCGGGUAUAGGGUGUUACAAAAGUUAUUUGGUUAAGUUACAUUCAUGUAUAAAUUAUAUAGUUGUUGUUAUACUUCAAGUUAUCUACUCUGGUAUGAUUGUUGAUUAUUUUUGUACAUGUGUUUUGUGAAGAGAAAAUUGUAGAGAAAAGUGAAAAAAGCAAGGGAAAUGAUAAAGUCCGUAAGUGAAUGGGUGAUUGAAGGUUUACCCUCUCUUGCAAAGCUUGGAGAUUUGGAAAGUGCUCCAUAAAUUCCCCUUUACCUUUUACUUGAUUAAACGACCAAGUCAUAUGGUUAACAAGCAUGAUAAAUGGCAUGAAAACUAAAAAUUGAAUAGACACUUAGUUAAGGUGAGUUAAUUAAAAUUGGCUAAUAGCUUAACAAGUUUAUAAUGUGAUAUGUGAUGAGUGUUACGACAUUAUAUUAUGUAUGGAGAUAUAAUAGAUAUCAUUGGUUCAAUGGUAAAAUGCUUAAGUGGUUAAGGAUUUAAAAGAGGCAAGUUACUGGAAAGUGAAGCUAUGAAAGAACAUGACUUGUAAUGAAAAUAUGAAAAAUAUGAAUUCUGUGAGGUUAAUAGGAAGAAUGAACAAAUGAGCCAUUAGCAAAAUAUGUGUUAAACAUGAUGCCUUCAAGUGUUUGAUUGUAUAUGAAGAAUAUGAGCUUAAGUGAAGUAAUGUGUGAUUAAUGGAUUAAAACACUUGAAUAUUGUGACCCCCUUAUGCAUUUGAUGCAUUAUAAGUGAGCAUGCUAUGCAAAAAUAAAAAUAAUGUGAUUAUGUUCUUAACAUGAGAAACCUUGAGAUAUUGUAAAAUGACCUAAUAAAAUUGGUAGGAAUUAGUUUUAUAUAUAGUUAGCAUGCCAAUAAGGUUAGUAGUACUGCAUAUGAUCAUUGAUUGUUAAAAACUCCUUAUCUUUGUACUAGAUGGGUGUGUUUAGAAAUCUCACCACCAAAUGAUUGUGAUUGGCAAUUCCCAAGAUAUCUUUGUAUUGGAUGGUUGUGAGAGAAAUUCCCAGCAACCUCAAUAUUAGAUAGUUGUGGAUCGACUCAUGAAGAUUGUUGUUGAACCUUGCAUCAUCGAAGUCAUACUAAAGCUAAUAUAUUUGCUACACUUCGAACCAUUUUGGUUAUGUACACACACUAGCUUAUUUAGCAUGUACGUAGGUUAUGUAUAUUAUCUUUUGGACAUCAUACAAGUAGUAUAAGUUGGUAUGUAUAUGUUAUAUCAUAGUUAAGUGACUUGGUAUGUGAUCUGUCAUAAUUUGAUAAAUCAAAUCAGGCUCUCCAUUACAUUUAAAGAGCUUAUUCUCAAGUAAA